rnacentral:rRNA from 1 species
UACGAAGGUGCCCAAGCGUUAUCCGGAUUUAUUGGGUUUAAAGGGUGCGUAGGCGGGUUAUUAAGUCAGUGGUGAAAGCCUUCAGCUUAACUGGAAGAAUUGCCAUUGAUACUGAUGAUCGUUGAGUAUGAUUGAGGUUGGCGGAAUGUGUCAUGUAGCGGUGAAAUGCUUAGAUAUGACACAGAACACCGAUUGCGGAAGGCAGCUAACUAAGCCAUAACUGACGCUGAUGCACGAAAGCGUGGGGAGCAAACAGG